rnacentral:rRNA from 1 species
UACGUAGGGGGCAAGCGUUGUCCGGAAUCAUUGGGCGUAAAGCGCACGUAGGCGGCCUGUUAAGUCGGGUGUGAAAGCCCUGGGCUCAACCCAGGAAGUGCACUCGAAACUGGCGGGCUUGAAUAUGGAAGAGGGGUCGCGGAAUUCCCCGGUGUAGAGGUGAAAUUCGUAGAUAUCGGGGAGGAACACCAGUGGCGAAGGCGGCGGCCUGGGCCAAUAUUGACGCUGAGGUGCGAAAGCGUGGGGAGCAAACAGG